GCCCGCGUGGUGAAAUGGUAGACACACGAGACUUAAAAUCUCCUGCCCUUCGGGCGUGCCGGUUCGAGUCCGGCCGCGGGCACCA
rnacentral:tRNA from 1 species